CCUACGGGCUGCAGCAGUAGGGAAUCUUCGGCAAUGGACGAAAGUCUGACCGAGCAACGCCGCGUGAGUGAAGAAGGUUUUCGGAUCGUAAAACUCUGUUGUUAGAGAAGAACAAGUAGGAGAGUAACUGCUCUUACCUUGACGGUAUCUACCAGAAAGCCACGGCUAACUACGUGCCAGCAGCCGCGGUAAUACGUAGGUGGCAAGCGUUGUCCGGAUUUAUUGGGCGUAAAGCGAGCGCAGGCGGUCUUUUAAGUCUGAUGUGAAAGCCCUCGGCUCAACCGAGGAAGGUCAUUGGAAACUGGAGGACUUGAGUGCAGAAGAGGAGAGUGGAAUUCCAUGUGUAGCGGUGAAAUGCGUAGAUAUAUGGAGGAACACCAGUGGCGAAGGCGACUCUCUGGUCUGUAACUGACGCUGAGGCUCGAAAGCGUGGGGAGCAAACAGGAUUAGAUACCCCCGUAGUC
rnacentral:rRNA from 1 species